rnacentral:rRNA from 1 species
AACGAACGCUGGCGGCAUGCCUAACACAUGCAAGUCGAACGAGACCUUCGGGCCUAGUGGCGCACGGGUGCGUAACGCGUGGGAACCUGCCCUUAGGUUCGGAAUAACUCCCCGAAAGGUGUGCUAAUACCGGAUAAUGUCAUCGGACCAAAGAUUUAUCGCCUUUGGAUGGGCCCGCGUUGGAUUCGCUAGUUGGUAGGGUAAAAGCCUACCAAGGCGACGAUCCAUAGCUGGUCUGAGAGGAUGAUCAGCCACACUGGGACUGAGACACGGCCCAGACUGCGACGGGAGGCAGCAGUGGGGAAUAUUGGACAAUGGGCGAAAGCCUGAUCCAGCAAUGCCGCGUAAGUGAGGAAGGCCUUAGGGUUGUAAAGCUCUUUUACCCGGGAUGAUAAUGACAGUACCGGGAGAAUAAGCUCCGGCUAACUCCGUG